CUCUCCUGACCGACAGGUGGCGGAUUCAAAACCGGUCGGAAGUACAACCGAAGAAGACACUGAACCGAGCUAAAUCGUUAGCCGUAUUAGCUAGUUCGCAUUAAUCAAGUAUAACCGCACGGUAUUGGAUAUGAAAUUGUAUUGUUUGUCUGGUCACCCAACGUUGCCUUGCAAUGUUCUCAAGUUUAAAUGCACCACCAUCAUGUUGGACUGUGGGCUGGACACCACCUCAGCUUUGUAUUUCCUCCCUUUGCCUCUGGUGCACAGUCCAAGACUGUCCAAACUACCAGGAUGGGUUUCCAAAGAUGGAACAGUGAACCUUGAGAAAGAGCUAAAGGAGUGUGCCGGUCGUGUAUUUGUGGACUCUGAGCCAGAGUUUUGUCUUCCUGAGAGAGACCUGCUCGAUAUGUCGACUAUCGACGUCAUCCUGAUAUCUAACUACCACUGCAUGAUGGCUCUUCCCUACAUCACUGAGCACACCGGCUUCUCAGGCACCGUCUACACCACCGAGCCCACGUUUCAGAUCGGCAGACUGCUGAUGGAGGAGCUGGUUAAUUUUAUGGAGAGAGUCCCAAAGGCUCAGACUGCCACCUGCUGGAAGAACAAAGAAAUACUAAGGAUGCUGCCCGGUCCUUUAAAAGAUGCAGUUGAAGUGUGGUCAUGGAAGAAGUGCUACAGCAUGCAGGAAGUGAACUCCGCUCUCAGCAAAGUGCAGCUCGUGGGCUACUCGCAGAAAGUGGAGUUGUUUGGUGCGGUGCAGGUCACCCCUCUGAGCUCCGGCUAUUCCCUGGGCAGUUCAAACUGGAUAAUUCAGUCUCACUAUGAGAAAGUGUCCUAUGUCUCCGGUUCGUCUUUGCUCACCACACACCCUCAGCCUAUGGACCAAAGCUCUCUGAAGAACAGUGACGUUUUGAUCCUAACUGGUCUGACGCAGAUCCCCACGGCCAACCCGGACGGAAUGCUAGGGGAAUUCUGCAGCAACCUGGCCCUGACAGUCCGUGCUGGAGGGAACGUUUUGGUGCCAUGUUACUCCUCUGGUGUGAUUUACGACCUGCUGGAGUGCCUCUACCAGUUCAUGGAUUCUGCUAACCUGGGAAGCACACCCUUUUACUUUAUCUCACCUGUGGCCAACAGCUCGCUGGAGUUCUCCCAGAUUUUUUCAGAGUGGCUGUGCCAGACUAAGCAGUCCAAGGCUUACCUCCCUGAACCUCCUUUCCCACACGCUGAGCUGAUCCAGACCAACAAGCUCAAGCAUUACCCCAGUAUCCAUGGCGAGUUCAGCAGCGAAUUCAGACAGCCGUGUGUGGUGUUUACGGGGCAUCCAUCACUUCGGUUCGGGGAUGUCGUGCACUUCAUGGAGCUGUGGGGCAAAUCAAGCCUCAACACCAUUAUCUUCACUGAACCUGAUUUCUCCUACCUGGACGCUUUGGCUCCCUACCAGCCGCUGGCCAUGAAGUGUGUGUACUGCCCAAUUGACACACGCCUCAACUUCCACCAGGUUUCCAAACUUCUGAAGGAGGUUCAGCCACUUCAUGUGGUGUGUCCAGAGCAAUAUACUCAGCCUCCUCCCUCUCAGUCUCACCGGUCUGAUCUAAUGUUGGAGCUGCAGCCUCCUCCUCUACCAUACAGCCGGUGCUCCGUUCUCAAUCUGCCCUUCCACCGCACGUAUGAACGUGUCCAGCUUUUACCCGAGCUUGCCAAAACUCUCGUACCCACUGAGAUUAAACCUGGCAUCUCUGUGGCAAACGUGUCAGCAAUUCUGCAAUCCAAAGACAACAAGCAUGUCCUCCAGUUGGUGCCCAAGCCAGCUCCUGUGGCUCCCAGUAAGAAGCGGAAGAGACUGAUAGAGGAGGUUCCUGAGCUGUCGACCCCGAAGCCGCUGCUAAAUGGAGCUGUGCCUUUGGAGGCCUUCCUUGCCUCACUGCACAAGCUUCUAAGAUGCAGAGACUGUAGCAGAGAUGGAGGUAGCAGAUGAGGAUGUUCUCUUUAGGAAUGGACAUGGACAUGUACAGAGGAGGGAGAUGGUUAUAUUGGUAGAAGGAUGUUGAAGAUGAAGCUGGCAGAACGGAAUCUCGGAGGUGAAGGUGGAGGAGACAGCGGACGGUCACAUCCUGCAUCUGCAGGCCGAGGACGCGCUCAUCCAGCUGGAAGAGGACGCAACGCACAUCGUGUGUGACAACAACGAGCCACUGCGGACCGCCCUCAGGGACCUGGUGCUCCGAUUCCUCCAGAAGCUCUGACCUGUGACCGUUGGAGUCUGGACUGUCUGACCUUAGUGUGGCUGUGCACAGCAUGGUGAUGAUCCAGUGAGUCAGUAGCAGUGAGCACUGGGAUAUUUGUGGUUAUUUAAAAACAGAAGCUCAUUGUAAACAUUACAGAGAUGUGUCUCAGGGCAGAUAGACCUCACUGGUGAACACUGGACUUCACUGAUUUCUUGAAAUAGGAGAUGUUCCUGGAGCAGCAUUUCUUAUAGCACUAAUGACAUCAAUUUGUGUCCUAAACCUCCUGCUCCCGAACCACUUAAAAAUAAAAACACACACACAGUUCAUUACAAAGAUUCAGAAAUGAACUGUGUGUGUGUGUAUAUAUAUAUAUGCUCUUAGUAGUUUGUAUUUUAUUGCAUUGCUUAGCUUUAUAAAUUAAUAUAAAGCUUAGCAUUAAAAUACAAAUUACUAAAAGCAUUUAUUUAUAUAUAUACAUAUAUAUAUAUAUGUAUAUAUAUGUAUAUAUAUAUAAUUAAAAGAUUCAGAAAUGAACUGUGUGUGUGUGUAUAUACAUAUAUGCUCUUAGUAGUUUGUAUUUUAUUGCAUUGCUUAGCUUUAUAAAUUAAUAUAAAGCUUAGCAAUAAAAUACAAAUUACUAAAAGCAUAUACAUAUACAUACAUAUAUAUAUAUAUUUUUUUUUUAUGGGAAAUGGUACAUUUUGUUGGGAAAUGUUUCUUUAUCUGUAUUCUAUAUAAUAUAACCAGAGUCAACAGUAAAUUUGAUCAGUUUCCCUACAUUAAAUUCAUAUAACGUUUAAACACUUAAAAUUGAAGAUCAACAGGAAUUGAAGUCUUUCAGUACACCGUUAUGUAAAGCACAUAUCAUAGACCUUCUGUAAUCAAAGGCAUGUAUACAUUAAUCUCUAAAUUUGUAGAAGUUAUCCUUUCAGACAUGGAAUUUCUUUUCCAAAGGAAGGAAUCUGUGGUCAUGUGUGUUACCAGUGUAGUCCUGAUGGCACACCACAAACCCUAAAGCACAAAUACACAGGAUGACUUUGCAUUGCUGCGGUGGAGAAAAGAUGGAUAACAUUUCAUAAGAACUGCUUAGUUAAGGCUUUCUCUCAUGUCCUUCUCAUCCUUAGACCUUUAGUGUUAGCAAAAUGAACGGUUUUACUUUAAAUGUAAAACCAUAUUUUAAAUGUAUGUUUAUGGAGCUUACCAACCGCCUUUAGACUUAAAACAUGUUCAAAAUGACGUACAGAGUGGUACUUUCAUGUCUGGAAGUGGACUAGCAUCAGGGGGGAAUGUUUAAGUGGCUCAAGUUCAGGAGGAAUCAGAUCAGAUCAGAUCAGGUGAUACUGUUGUUUAAAAUAAAGUGGCCCUGCUUAGAAAAAAUGAGGUUCAUCAGAAUCAGGAAGCAGAAUAAAUAAAUAAAUAAUAAUAAUAGACUUUUCUGUUUCACUCUUUUUUAUAUUAAAGUUUGUCUUUUAUAAUUUUGUAAUAAAUCAUAUUUCUUAAAUUUCC